UCCGGUUUGUCACCGGCAGGCUCCCAUGAGUCCCCAACUAAAUGCUGGCAACAUGGAACGGGGGUUGCGCUCGUUGCGGGACUUAACCCAACAUCUCACGACACGAGCUGACGACAGCCAUGCACCACCUGUGCACGAUCUCCGAAGAGGGGCUCUCGUUUCUGAGAGCUUGCUCGUGCAUGUCAAGCCUAGGUAAGGUUCUUCGCGUUGCUCCGAAUUAAACCACAUGCUCCACCGCUUGUGCGGGCCCCCGUCAAUUCCUUUGAGUUUCAGCCUUGCGGCCGUACUCCCCAGGCGGGGCACUUAAUGCGUUAGCUGCGGCACUGAUCGGGUCAAUCCGACCAACACCUAGUUCACAACGUUUAGGGCGUGGACUAC
rnacentral:misc_RNA from 1 species